rnacentral:rRNA from 1 species
UCAGUGCAAGCCGAAUUAAGGUGAAACCGCGAAUGGCUCAUUAAAUCAGUUAUGGUUCCUUAGAUGGUGCACAGUUACUUGGAUAACUGUGGUAAUUCUAGAGCUAAUACAUGCAACUCGGUCCCGACCGGCGACGGAAGGGACGCUUUUAUUAGAUCAAAACCAAUCGGUCUUCGGGCCGUUUGCCUUGGUGACUCUGAAUAAAUUGUGGCAGAUCGCACGGCCCCCGAGCCGGCGACGCAUCUUUCAAAUGUCUGCCUUAUCAACUGUCGAUGGUAGGUUCUGCGCCUACCAUGGUUGUAACGGGUAACGGGGAAUCAGGGUUCGAUUCCGGAGAGGGAGCCUGAGAAACGGCUACCACAUCCAAGGAAGGCAGCAGGCGCGCAAAUUACCCACUCCCGGCACGGGGAGGUAGUGACGAAAAAUAACGAUACGGGACUCAUCCGAGGCCCCGUAAUCGGAAUGAGUACACUUUAAAUCCUUUAACGAGUAUCCAUUGGAGGGCAAGUCUGGUGCCAGCAGCCGCGGUAAUUCCAGCUCCAAUAGCGUAUAUUAAAGUUGUUGCGGUUAAAAAGCUCGUAGUCGGACUUGUGUCCCACGCUGCCGGUUCACCGCCCGUCGGUGUUUAACUGGCAUGCACGUGCGGACGUCCUGCCGGUGGCCCGAGCCGGCGCGGGUCUUGCACCUGUCGUCCGGGGAAGGCCUAUCAUACCCGUCGCGGUGCUCUUAACCGAGUGUCUCGAUGGGCCGGCACGUUUACUUUGAACAAAUUAGAGUGCUUAAAGCAGGCAGCAUCCGCCUGAAUACCGAGUGCAUGGAAUAAUGGAAUAGGACCUCGGUUCUAUUUUGUUGGUUUUCGGAAUCCCCGAGGUAAUGAUCAAUAGGGACAGA